ensembl:lncRNA
AGUAACAGAAAAUACUACCUUACAGUUGGAGACUUUACCAGUGUACGCUCACUGAAAACCAUGGAUGAUUGCAAAGAGGUUGUGUCUAGUGAUUUCGGAUGGAGCCCAGAGUUCAUUCAGGAGCUUCUUCCAUCUGCAGAGCGAACAGCUCUUCUCUAUCAUCUGUCUUACCUGUGUCUGGGAAGUUUCCCAAAGCUGGAGCGUCUGAUCAGAGAACGAGCUGUGGAAACACAGCUGCUGUUUGGAUCAUCUGAAGCCGUUUUGAUGAAGUGUGUUGGCACGAGCCACAACCUGGUCUUCGACCUGUUCCCAAUGCUGAUGAAGGCUAUUGAAAAGAAUAAACCCAAUCUGGCUGUGAAAUACCUGGAGAAAGCCAGAGCCUGGAUUGAUGACAUCAUCCGAGCUGUGGAUGACAUGGUGAAGAGGUAUGAACAACAAAACCGAAGUGUGGCAACAUGCACAAGUGAUGUAGUUCAAGAGAAAAAAGAGACAGAAAAACAACUAGCUCAGCACUCUGAGGAGAUGAAGAGUCUGGAAGAGGCUGUAACCAAGCUUGUAGAGGAGCUGAGUAAAAACACCAAAAAUGUAGAGGAAAUGGAGAAAAAAAUUGAAGGAAAGAACUCUGAGAUGCAGGAUCAUAUUAAAUCAGUUUCUAAAACAAGUCAUGGUAUGGGAAUCCUGGCUGCCUUGGUGCCAUUUGUUGGACCCCUUAUUAAAUCCAUUUAUGAUACCGCAACUGCCCCUGGUGUUGCUGCUAAAACUCAAGCUCUCAGUGCCGAACUGACCCAUCUCAACUCUGAAAAGAGUAAUCUGCAAAACAAAGAGUGGACGAUCCAAGUCAAACUGAUGGAUCUUCAGCUGCAGCUGGCCAAUUCAAGAAUACAGCUGGGUGAGACACUUACUCAUGAAUUUGUGUUGCAGCAUUUGAAAGAAUACAGACAGAAUACAGACCGUGCUUUCAUCAGGAGAUCAGGUUUAAAUGGUCCGAGUCAAAAUCUAUUGUAUGUUGUUUAUCCAGGUGUGAUUCCCAGUCCUGAUCAUCUGAAGGACGUCCAGCAGUGUCUUUCUCGAAUCCAGCAGAUUCUGCUUCAGCUUAAAAUGUUCUGGGAGAAGGUGGGAGCUCUGCUGGACACUCUGAAAAAGAAGACCUUUGUUAAUGAGGAUCUCAUUGAGGAACUGGAUGAUAUUGACAUGAAGGCUGAUUUUCUGAAGUCUAUUAAAAUAGCAGGAGAGUACUGGAAUACCUUCGGUGGAUGCUGUCGAAGUGCCCAAGGUGUUUUCAGCAUUCAGUCUAAGGAUGCGUAUAAGUUCCUGGAGAUCAAUCCAUCUUCACUCUCAGAGGAUGAACGGAAGGAGCAGUACGAGUCUGUCAUGGAGAAGCUGAAGCAGAUCAGCCCGCAGUAUUCAUCCACAGCCGCCAUCACUGAGUGAAACACAGAGAUCUGACGCUUCCUCUCACACAUUUAAACGCUCCUUAUAACGCACGCACAUAUUUAUGCAUACAGCUUCUCUUGUCAUUUUUGUAAUGCGUUCUAAUCUUUGCAACUCCUUAGACAAGAUUAUUUACAAUUCCACAUAAAUAUUCUUGAGUGUUGGUGUUAUGGGGAUUAUUAUUUCUAUUUCUCAGCUGUGCUGUAUCUCUGGUAAAAAUUGCUUUGCAUUUCAUUAUGGUGUAUCAUGUUAGAUCUUGUGGUCUGGCCACAUAACUAAUGUCAGUGUCACACAAUAAAGACAGAAGACGCUUCA